UAGGGAAUAUUAGUAAUGGGCGAAAGCCUGAACUAGCAACACCGCGUGUGCGAAGAAGGCCUUCGGGUUGUAAAGCACUUUUUGAGAGGAUGAGGAAGGACGGUACUCUCAGAAUAAGUCUCGGCUAACUACGUGCCAGCAGCCGCGGUAACACGUAGGAGGCAAACGUUAUCCGGAUUUACUGGGCGUAAAGCGCGUGUAGGUGGUUUGGUAAGUAGAGCGUGAAAGCUCCUGGCUUAACUGGGAGAGGCCGUUCUAAACUACAGAACUAGAGGAUGGCAGAGGGAGGUGGAAUUCCGGGUGUAGCGGUGGAAUGCGCAGAUAUCCGGAGGAACACCAGUGGCGAAAGCGGCCUCCUGGACCAUUCCUGACACUCAGACGCGAAAGCUAGGGUAGCAAACA
rnacentral:rRNA from 1 species